rnacentral:rRNA from 1 species
UUGAACGCUGGCGGCAGGCCUAACACAUGCAAGUCGAGCGGUAGCACAGAGAGCUUGCUCUCGGGUGACGAGCGGCGGACGGGUGAGUAAUGUCUGGGAAACUGCCUGAUGGAGGGGGAUAACUACUGGAAACGGUAGCUAAUACCGCAUAACGUCGCAAGACCAAAGUGGGGGACCUUCGGGCCUCAUGCCAUCAGAUGUGCCCAGAUGGGAUUAGCUAGUAGGUGGGGUAACGGCUCACCUAGGCGACGAUCCCUAGCUGGUCUGAGAGGAUGACCAGCCACACUGGAACUGAGACACGGUCCAGACUCCUACGGGAGGCAGCAGUGGGGAAUAUUGCACAAUGGGCGCAAGCCUGAUGCAGCCAUGCCGCGUGUGUGAAGAAGGCCUUCGGGUUGUAAAGCACUUUCAGCGGGGAGGAAGGCGAUAAGGUUAAUAACCUUGUCGAUUGACGUUACCCGCAGAAGAAGCACCGGCUAACUCCGUGCCAGCAGCCGCGGUAAUACGGAGGGUGCAAGCGUUAAUCGGAAUUACUGGGCGUAAAGCGCACGCAGGCGGUCUGUCAAGUCGGAUGUGAAAUCCCCGGGCUCAACCUGGGAACUGCAUUCGAAACUGGCAGGCUAGAGUCUUGUAGAGGGGGGUAGAAUUCCAGGUGUAGCGGUGAAAUGCGUAGAGAUCUGGAGGAAUACCGGUGGCGAAGGCGGCCCCCUGGACAAAGACUGACGCUCAGGUGCGAAAGCGUGGGGAGCAAACAGGAUUAGAUACCCUGGUAGUCCACGCCGUAAACGAUGUCGAUUUGGAGGUUGUGCCCUUGAGGCGUGGCUUCCGGAGCUAACGCGUUAAAUCGACCGCCUGGGGAGUACGGCCGCAAGGUUAAAACUCAAAUGAAUUGACGGGGGCCCGCACAAGCGGUGGAGCAUGUGGUUUAAUUCGAUGCAACGCGAAGAACCUUACCUGGUCUUGACAUCCACAGAACUUUCCAGAGAUGGAUUGGUGCCUUCGGGAACUGUGAGACAGGUGCUGCAUGGCUGUCGUCAGCUCGUGUUGUGAAAUGUUGGGUUAAGUCCCGCAACGAGCGCAACCCUUAUCCUUUGUUGCCAGCGGUUAGGCCGGGAACUCAAAGGAGACUGCCAGUGAUAAACUGGAGGAAGGUGGGGAUGACGUCAAGUCAUCAUGGCCCUUACGACCAGGGCUACACACGUGCUACAAUGGCAUAUACAAAGAGAAGCGACCUCGCGAGAGCAAGCGGACCUCAUAAAGUAUGUCGUAGUCCGGAUUGGAGUCUGCAACUCGACUCCAUGAAGCUGGAUUCGCUAGUAAUCGCGCAUCAGCCAUGGCGCGGUGAAUACGUUCCCGGGCCUUGUACACACCGCCCGUCAAGCCAUGGGAGCCGGGAGUGCCUGAAGGCCGUAACCGCAAGGAGCGGUCAAGGGUAAGACUGGUGACUGGGGCU